rnacentral:sRNA from 1 species
CAUUAUAGUAAGUUACUAACAUGCCCUCUCUCCAUCUCUCUGAUGCAGGAUUUUAUACACAAAGAGAAUGCUGAGAAAUAGCAACAGCUAACCUUGUUUUUGUCUGUACUCUGCUCUCUAUACAAAUGGACAUACAUAUCCACGAUAUCUUUCGAUCUGUAAAGAUGGAGGAAUUUUCCUGAUUUACCUAAGUGAAGAAGUAGGCCUUUAAGGCUCAUGUCAGCAUUUCAGGAGUGAUAAAUAAGCUGGUUUGCAGUACUUCAUGCAUGCAUUUUAAUGAUUAGAAGGGACUAUAAUUCUUCCUAGCCUUCCCCAAGUUCCACAGGAGUGAAGUCAUGGGCAUGAGACUACAUUAUCGGGUUCUUGGGAUCUCAUUUAAAGUUUUGAAUAUACACAUAGAGAUUGCAACAUAACAAGGGAACUUCCUUAAAAGAUUCUGAACUGGGGCCUUUUCUUCACACUGCACUGCUUCGUCCAGCAUUGCUACAAGGGGAGCUAUCUCGUCUUACUGCAACUUAAUAUGCCACAUUUGGUUGGUAGCCACUAGUGCCUACCAUUUUCUGCAGUGAAACAGAGGACAGGCCUCUGCUGACCUGUACUACAAGAACUACAAAAACUGAACAGAACUGGACAGAACUGAAUAAAAAGGAAGAGAACUCCAAGAAAUUGACAGAACUCAACUGCAUUCUACUGAACUGCACUGAACUCAACUGACUGAACUCAUCUGACCUCUGCUGCAUUGCAUAAAUUCAGCUGAAAUGCACCUUCUAAACUGCUCUCCACUCCAACUCACUCUGCAUUACUCUCCUAAGUGGCCUCUCCUUCCUGUGACCUUAUGAGAGUUGAGCAUAUCCGAUCUCUGACUCAUUUUAUCAAUUUUUUCUCUUAUCUGUCACAUUGUCUCUUCCUCCUUUAUAUACAACUUUCUAAUAUGGCUUCUCCCUUUCACAAACUAACCAUACCUAAAUUGUUUGGGAUUGAAUGUGUGUAGUAAGGGCAUGUCUGCAUUCCAUCCAGAGGGAACAAACGUGCAUCUGUGUUCCCGCCAUCACACAGACCUAGUUUUUUGGAUGUGAUCUCAUGCCA